rnacentral:rRNA from 1 species
AUACGUAGGGGGCAAGCGUUGUCCGGAAUCAUUGGGCGUAAAGCGCGUGUAGGCGGCUCGGUAAGUCUGCUGUGAAAGUCCAGGGCUCAACCCUGGGAUGCCGGUGGAUACUGUCGAGCUCGAGUCCGGAAGAGGCGAGUGGAAUUCCUGGUGUAGCGGUGAAAUGCGCAGAUAUCAGGAGGAACACCAAUGGCGAAGGCAGCUCGCUGGGACGUGACUGACGCUGAGACGCGAAAGCGUGGGGAGCAAACA